CAUUUGGCUCUUUUCAGGGCCACCAAAUGUGCGUGAAAGAGUUAAU
rfam:Aedes aegypti strain Liverpool supercont1.39 genomic scaffold, whole genome shotgun sequence.